GACGAACGCUGGCGGCGUGCCUAAUACAUGCAAGUAGAACGCUGAAGGAGGAGCUUGCUUCUCUGGAUGAGUUGCGAACGGGUGAGUAACGCGUAGGUAACCUGCCUGGUAGCGGGGGAUAACUAUUGGAAACGAUAGCUAAUACCGCAUAACAGUAGAUAUCGCAUGAUAUCUACUUGAAAGGUGCAAUUGUAUCCCUACCAGAUGGACCUGCGUUGUAUUUGCUAGUUGGUGUGGUAACGGCUCACCCAGGCGACGAUACAUAGCCGACCUGAGAGGGUGAUCGGCCACACUGGGACUGAGACACGGCCCAGACUCCUACGGGAGGCAGCAGUAGGGAAUCUUCGGCAAUGGACGGAAGUCUGACCGAGCAACGCCGCGUGAGUGAAGAAGGUUUUCGGAUCGUAAAGCUCGGUUGUAAGAGAAGAACGAGUGUGAGAGUGGAAAGUACACACUGUGACGGUAUCUUACCAGAAAGGGACGGCUAACUACGUG
rnacentral:rRNA from 1 species